UUGCAAACAAACUUUCAACAUCUGUGACAGAUGGCCUUGUCACUGAUGAAAACAGCAUGAAAAGCAGGCAAGAAAUCUAUGGCAUAAAUAAGUUUACUGAAACCAAGGCCCGCAGCUUUUGGGUAUUUGUUUGGGAAGCACUUCAAGAUACAACUCUUAUUAUUCUUGCUGUAUGUUCCGUUAUCUCUCUGAUGGUUGGCAUUGCCACAGAAGGAUGGCCCAAAGGUGCCCAUGAUGGUCUAGG
rnacentral:misc_RNA from 1 species